UAUCUUUGUAUUUUUAUAACGAUCCUCCCGAUCGUUUGUGAAAUUUUCUCUUUUUAUUUUUAUUUUAGUGCUCUCCGUAGUUUGUAAACAUGAUUUAUGACUUACGAUGGUGAGUAAUAUCGACAAUCUUGAGUAUUUGAAAGUAGUUUAAGUCAUUAACGGGAUUGUUGAGUUUGAAAAAGUUAAACCCGAUAAUAGUCAACUUUUGGUCAAGACAACCUCAAUUCGGUAUGUUAAUAUUUUCAAUAGGCCCGGAACGUACUUUUUAGUCAAGUUACGUAUUUGAUUUAUUUUUAUGGGGCUUCGAAUAAAUUUUGAGAAUUUAAUAAAAAUUUUAGGUAUUAGAUAAUUAAUUUAGUUAGAAGUAGUGGGUCAAAAGUACAUCUAUUUUCUUCUCAUGUAACCCACGUUAAGAUCAGUUGAAGUCAGUAGGUUUAACUUCAAACUAUAGCAGAAACUCAAACAAAGAACGAGUUACGUGUGGUUGAGUUGGGAAGAAGAGAUCUCGAUAACUUGAGAUUUGAAAUAUUCGGAAGCUUUAUGGAAGGGCAAGACUCUUGCAAGGUAGCUUGUAUUUGAGUUCUUCGGUUGAGAAAUUGUUCUAGAGGCUCAUACAUGAUCUCACCUCUAGAGUUUGAUAGCAGAUCUUGAUCCAAGGGUAAGCACUCCGUCUUCAGGCUUCCAUGGGUCAUCUUAUUUGUUCUUGUCCAUCUUUCGGGCAAUGAAACAUUCUUUAUUUACUUUAUUUUGAGAUAUCUCUUUAGACAUGAUCUUUGUUAGUAGUUCUUGUAUGAUGACUUUCGGGUCUUGGGAAUUUCAGUUAGUAGAUUGUUUGGUUUUCGAGCUACUGAUGAUUAAUCACAGAUUAUUAUUGUUAAGAUGAUUUUAUGAAAAUAUCCUUUUAAUAUUGACUAA